rnacentral:lncRNA from 1 species
GCGUUUCUGCGUUUGUGCGCAUGAGAGAGAGAAGGAGAGAUUGGCUUCUAUCUCAGUCGGAGAGAGGAGCCGAUGGGCAUGACACGGUCCUCCCCUAUUCUUCCUUGCGUCCCAGUGGUGGCCUUGCUGGGGAUGAACCCAUUCUGUUUUGGGUGUCUAAAUAAAUUUGGUGGUUGGGUGUGGUAUCUUGCUUUAAUCUGGGACUGCCGAAUGGUACUGGGCAGAGUUUUGAAGGUUGAUAUGGCUUCUGAAAGCCAUUGGCUGAAGCUAAAAUAUUGGAGAUGAGCUUAGAAAACUGGGUGCCG